rnacentral:rRNA from 1 species
UACAGAGGGGGCAAGCGUUGUUCGGAAUUACUGGGCGUAAAGGGCGCGUAGGCGGCCUUCUAAGUCGAACGUGAAAUCCCCGGGCUCAACCCGGGAACUGCGUCCGAUACUGGAAGGCUUGAAUCCGGGAGAGGGAUGUGGAAUUCCAGGUGUAGCGGUGAAAUGCGUAGAUAUCUGGAGGAACACCGGUGGCGAAGGCGACAUCCUGGACCGGUAUUGACGCUGAGGCACGAAGGCCAGGGGAGCAAACGGGG